GAGCGAACGGGGAGCAGCCCAGAGCCUGAAUCAGUAUGUGUGUUAGUGGAAGCGUCUGGAAAGGCGCGCGAUACAGGGUGACAGCCCCGUACACAAAAAUGCACAUGCUGUGAGCUCGAUGAGUAGGGCGGGACACGUGGUAUCCUGUCUGAAUAUGGGGGGACCAUCCUCCAAGGCUAAAUACUCCUGACUGACCGAUAGUGAACCAGUACCGUGAGGGAAAGGCGAAAAGAACCCCGGCGAGGGGAGUGAAAAAGAACCUGAAACCGUGUACGUACAAGCAGUGGGAGCACGCUUAGGCGUGUGACUGCGUACCUUUUGUAUAAUGGGUCAGCGACUUAUAUUCUGUAGCAAGGUUAACCGAAUAGGGGAGCCGAAGGGAAACCGAGUCUUAACUGGGCGUUAAGUUGCAGGGUAUAGACCCGAAACCCGGUGAUCUAGCCAUGGGCAGGUUGAAGGUUGGGUAACACUAACUGGAGGACCGAACCGACUAAUGUUGAAAAAUUAGCGGAUGACUUGUGGCUGGGGGUGAAAGGCCAAUCAAACCGGGAGAUAGCUGGUUCUCCCCGAAAGCUAUUUAGGUAGCGCCUCGUGAAUUCAUCUCCGGGGGUAGAGCACUGUUUCGGCAAGGGGGUCAUCCCGACUUACCAACCCGAUGCAAACUGCGAAUACCGGAGAAUGUUAUCACGGGAGACACACGGCGGGUGCUAACGUCCGUCGUGAAGAGGGAAACAACCCAGACCGCCAGCUAAGGUCCCAAAGUCAUGGUUAAGUGGGAAACGAUGUGGGAAGGCCCAGACAGCCAGGAUGUUGGCUUAGAAGCAGCCAUCAUUUAAAGAAAGCGUAAUAGCUCACUGGUCGAGUCGGCCUGCGCGGAAGAUGUAACGGGGCUAAACCAUGCACCGAAGCUGCGGCAGCGACGCUGAUGCGUUGUUGGGUAGGGGAGCGUUCUGUAAGCCUGCGAAGGUGUGCUGUGAGGCAUGCUGGAGGUAUCAGAAGUGCGAAUGCUGACAUAAGUAACGAUAAAGCGGGUGAAAAGCCCGCUCGCCGGAAGACCAAGGGUUCCUGUCCAACGUUAAUCGGGGCAGGGUGAGUCGACCCCUAAGGCGAGGCCGAAAGGCGUAGUCGAUGGGAAACAGGUUAAUAUUCCUGUACUUGGUGUUACUGCGAAGGGGGGACGGAGAAGGCUAUGUUGGCCGGGCGACGGUUGUCCCGGUUUAAGCGUGUAGGCUGGUUUUCCAGGCAAAUCCGGAAAAUCAAGGCUGAGGCGUGAUGACGAGGCACU
rnacentral:rRNA from 1 species